AUGAACUCCGAUCCCAGCAAUCUCCGUCUCCCUUCGGCGACGGCGACUCUUGACGAAACUCCAUCCGUCGAUCGCCCAACACCGCCACGCCACAGAUCCCGACGGAUCUCCGACCGCACCUGUUGCAACCCACCCGACUAUCACACUUCGUCUCCCACCAUCGAUUCACCGUGCCAGGUUAUUCAUAUUGUUUUUAUUGUUUUGGGUAUUAUGCUUAUUGGGUUUGGGUUGUUUUGA